GGGGGUGGAUGGGGCCUGGUGGCUCCUGCGGUCUUCAAAACCGUUCGCGCGGUGCUAACACAUCGUGGGUGGGUUCGAUUCCUACACACUCCCGCCA
rnacentral:tRNA from 1 species